GGGUUGUGAGGUUAAGCGACUAAGCGUACACGGUGGAUGCCCUGGCAGUCAGAGGCGAUGAAGGACGUGCUAAUCUGCGAUAAGCGUCGGUAAGGUGAUAUGAACCGUUAUAACCGGCGAUUUCCGAAUGGGGAAACCCAGUGUGAUUCGUCACACUAUCAUUAACUGAAUCCAUAGGUUAAUGAGGCGAACCGGGGGAACUGAAACAUCUAAGUACCCCGAGGAAAAGAAAUCAACCGAGAUUCCCCCAGUAGCGGCGAGCGAACGGGGAGGAGCCCAGAGCCUGAAUCAGUGUGUGUGUUAGUGGAAGCGUCUGGAAAGGCGCGCGAUACAGGGUGACAGCCCCGUACACAAAAAUGCACAUGCUGUGAGCUCGAUGAGUAGGGCGGGACACGUGGUAUCCUGUCUGAAUAUGGGGGGACCAUCCUCCAAGGCUAAAUACUCCUGACUGACCGAUAGUGAACCAGUACCGUGAGGGAAAGGCGAAAAGAACCCCGGCGAGGGGAGUGAAAAAGAACCUGAAACCGUGUACGUACAAGCAGUGGGAGCACAGAGCAAUCUGUGUGACUGCGUACCUUUUGUAUAAUGGGUCAGCGACUUAUAUUCUGUAGCAAGGUUAACCGAAUAGGGGAGCCGAAGGGAAACCGAGUCUUAACUGGGCGUUAAGUUGCAGGGUAUAGACCCGAAACCCGGUGAUCUAGCCAUGGGCAGGUUGAAGGUUGGGUAACACUAACUGGAGGACCGAACCGACUAAUGUUGAAAAAUUAGCGGAUGACUUGUGGCUGGGGGUGAAAGGCCAAUCAAACCGGGAGAUAGCUGGUUCUCCCCGAAAGCUAUUUAGGUAGCGCCUCGUGAAUUCAUCUCCGGGGGUAGAGCACUGUUUCGGCAAGGGGGUCAUCCCGACUUACCAACCCGAUGCAAACUGCGAAUACCGGAGAAUGUUAUCACGGGAGACACACGGCGGGUGCUAACGUCCGUCGUGAAGAGGGAAACAACCCAGACCGCCAGCUAAGGUCCCAAAGUCAUGGUUAAGUGGGAAACGAUGUGGGAAGGCCCAGACAGCCAGGAUGUUGGCUUAGAAGCAGCCAUCAUUUAAAGAAAGCGUAAUAGCUCACUGGUCGAGUCGGCCUGCGCGGAAGAUGUAACGGGGCUAAACCAUGCACCGAAGCUGCGGCAGCGACACUGUGUGUUGUUGGGUAGGGGAGCGUUCUGUAAGCCUGUGAAGGUGUACUGUGAGGUAUGCUGGAGGUAUCAGAAGUGCGAAUGCUGACAUAAGUAACGAUAAAGCGGGUGAAAAGCCCGCUCGCCGGAAGACCAAGGGUUCCUGUCCAACGUUAAUCGGGGCAGGGUGAGUCGACCCCUAAGGCGAGGCCGAAAGGCGUAGUCGAUGGGAAACAGGUUAAUAUUCCUGUACUUGGUGUUACUGCGAAGGGGGGACGGAGAAGGCUAUGUUGGCCGGGCGACGGUUGUCCCGGUUUAAGCGUGUAGGCUGGUUUUCCAGGCAAAUCCGGAAAAUCAAGGCUGAGGCGUGAUGACGAGGCACUACGGUGCUGAAGCAACAAAUGCCCUGCUUCCAGGAAAAGCCUCUAAGCAUCAGGUAACAUCAAAUCGUACCCCAAACCGACACAGGUGGUCAGGUAGAGAAUACCAAGGCGCUUGAGAGAACUCGGGUGAAGGAACUAGGCAAAAUGGUGCCGUAACUUCGGGAGAAGGCACGCUGAUAUGUAGGUGAAGUCCCUCGCGGAUGGAGCUGAAAUCAGUCGAAGAUACCAGCUGGCUGCAACUGUUUAUUAAAAACACAGCACUGUGCAAACACGAAAGUGGACGUAUACGGUGUGACGCCUGCCCGGUGCCGGAAGGUUAAUUGAUGGGGUCAGCGCAAGCGAAGCUCUUGAUCGAAGCCCCGGUAAACGGCGGCCGUAACUAUAACGGUCCUAAGGUAGCGAAAUUCCUUGUCGGGUAAGUUCCGACCUGCACGAAUGGCGUAAUGAUGGCCAGGCUGUCUCCACCCGAGACUCAGUGAAAUUGAACUCGCUGUGAAGAUGCAGUGUACCCGCGGCAAGACGGAAAGACCCCGUGAACCUUUACUAUAGCUUGACACUGAACAUUGAGCCUUGAUGUGUAGGAUAGGUGGGAGGCUUUGAAGUGUGGACGCCAGUCUGCAUGGAGCCGACCUUGAAAUACCACCCUUUAAUGUUUGAUGUUCUAACGUGGACCCGUGAUCCGGGUUGCGGACAGUGUCUGGUGGGUAGUUUGACUGGGGCGGUCUCCUCCUAAAGAGUAACGGAGGAGCACGAAGGUUGGCUAAUCCUGGUCGGACAUCAGGAGGUUAGUGCAAUGGCAUAAGCCAGCUUGACUGCGAGCGUGACGGCGCGAGCAGGUGCGAAAGCAGGUCAUAGUGAUCCGGUGGUUCUGAAUGGAAGGGCCAUCGCUCAACGGAUAAAAGGUACUCCGGGGAUAACAGGCUGAUACCGCCCAAGAGUUCAUAUCGACGGCGGUGUUUGGCACCUCGAUGUCGGCUCAUCACAUCCUGGGGCUGAAGUAGGUCCCAAGGGUAUGGCUGUUCGCCAUUUAAAGUGGUACGCGAGCUGGGUUUAGAACGUCGUGAGACAGUUCGGUCCCUAUCUGCCGUGGGCGCUGGAGAACUGAGGGGGGCUGCUCCUAGUACGAGAGGACCGGAGUGGACGCAUCACUGGUGUUCGGGUUGUCAUGCCAAUGGCACUGCCCGGUAGCUAAAUGCGGAAGAGAUAAGUGCUGAAAGCAUCUAAGCACGAAACUUGCCCCGAGAUGAGUUCUCCCUGACCCUUUAAGGGUCCUGAAGGAACGUUGAAGACGACGACGUUGAUAGGCCGGGUGUGUAAGCGCAGCGAUGCGUUGAGCUAACCGGUACUAAUGAACCGUGAGGCUUAACCUUACAACGCCGAAGGUGUUU
rnacentral:rRNA from 3 species